UGCACACAAUUCAUCAAUGUUACUGUUUUAUUUAGUGCAACACCAUGUUUAUUUUUAUAGAUAAACCAAAUUAAGUAAUCACGAAGAUCUUAACCAGAAAUUAGUUUACUUUACAAUACGUACAAGAUGGUUACAGUACACUAAGGUUUUGCAGUUAUCAAUGUUUUUUACAAGUAUGGUAAUAAUGUUGUUAACACUUUUUCAACAGUACGCCAGACCAGCCGCCCAGACAGGCCCCAGCCAACUGAUGAGGAUGCUGGGAUUGCAGGUUGUACUUCUGUAAGCCGACCUCCUCUAAGGCGCCCAUCACAGGGCUCGGCUAACUUACCCAGGAGGCCAAGUAAGACACGACGUCUUGAAUCCGAAUCUGCGGCUCCAUCUUCCCCACCCAGGCGGCGCAUCUCCGCAGUCUCACCCCAGCCACCACAAGCACUAUUGGCUAGUCCACAAAGUGAUGAGCCUCGAUCACCUCAGUUAUCUGAACCAACCUUGAUGCCCGACGUUGGCCAGCAGGAACAAGACCAACAGGCCACCUACACACUAAACCUAACACCCGUUAUCCCGACCCAGCCAACCCAGCCGCAGGAUAUCCCCCAAGCCUCCAUUACUCCACAACUGCUCCAAGCUCCACCCCAGCAACAAGUACCCGAUGACUUUUGGUCCAGUUGGACAACCCAACAGACCCAAAACAAUGCCUGCCUGACCGCCCACACCCAACACCUUGCCAGUCUGCCCCAUCAUCUGCCGCGCAUUAGUCGCAACUCGGGCAGACUGAUUGUCCAAGUAGGUCGAAUAGCCACUUCUAUGGAUCAAAUUCGGGCCGACAACAAUCAAAUGCUGGCUCAUUUGACGCGCAUCAUUGAUGAGCAACAACGCCAGCUGCAAACACUCAUCCAACUGAUACAACACAAUCAGGUUGUGAAUAAGUCAUUGUCCAGGAUUGUGGCCAGCCACACUGCAACCAACAACCAACUGAAUGCCAGCAUCCAUAAUUUAAGCCAGAACAUCUCUUUGAUGGCAGCACAACAAGUGAGCUCCAGCUCAGGAACUACGACCCCUAGCCAAACGCCAGUAACCUCCCCUGUUCGUCGAUCCUCCCGAACACGUGCCAGUACAAAGCACGGCACCCAGCACACACAAGCGAAAAAAAUAAAAAAACUUUUGUGUAACACAAUAAAAAUUUGCUUCU